rnacentral:rRNA from 1 species
UACGUAGGCAGCAAGCGUUGUUCGGAGUUACUGGGCGUAAAGGGUGCGUAGGCGGCUAUUUAAGUUUGGUGUGAAAUCUCCCGGCUCAACCGGGAGGGUGCGCCGAAUACUGAGUGGCUAGAGUGCGGGAGAGGAAAGUGGAAUUCCUGGUGUAGCGGUGAAAUGCGUAGAUAUCAGGAGGAACACCGGUGGUGUAAACGGCUUUCUGGACCGUAACUGACGCUGAGGCACGAAAGCUAGGGGAGCAAACAGG